rnacentral:rRNA from 1 species
AUUGAACGCUGGCGGCAUGCCUUACACAUGCAAGUCGAACGGUAACAGGUCUUCGGAUGCUGACGAGUGGCGAACGGGUGAGUAAUACAUCGGAACGUGCCCGAUCGUGGGGGAUAACGAGGCGAAAGCUUUGCUAAUACCUCAUACGAUCUACGGAUGAAAGCGGGGGAUCUUCGGACCUCGCGCGGACGGAGCGGCCGCUGGCAGAUUAGGUAGUUGGUGGGAUAAAAGCUUACCAAGCCGACGAUCUGUAGCUGGUCUGAGAGGAUGAUCAGCCACACUGGGACUGAGACACGGCCCAGACUCCUACGGGAGGCAGCAGUGGGGAAUUUUGGACAAUGGGCGAAAGCCUGAUCCAGCCAUGCCGCGUGAAGGAUGAAGGCCUUUGGGUUGUAAAAUGCUUUUGUACGGAAAGAAAAGCCUCUUUCUAAUAAAGAGGGGUCAUGACGGUACCGUAAGAAUAAGCACCGGCUAACUACGUG